rnacentral:hammerhead_ribozyme from 1 species
AUCCAGCAGAUGGGUCCCAAACAGGGCUAAAUACGCGUCCUGUAU